rnacentral:rRNA from 1 species
AUGAUGAUGAGAAGCACAUUACCUGCCCUUAAGACCGUUGUCCUCUACCAGUCCACCGACUCAUUGGUUGUUCAUGGUCCUCACAACAAGAAGCUGUGUUGGUGCUUUCCAGCGGUGCAAGAGCUGUUGUUUCAGGACUGUGGGAAUCUUGUUGCACUCCCUGAAGAGCUGUGCACUUUGUCGACUCUCCAGUUCCUGCGGAUAUUCAACUGUCCGAAGAUUUGGUCGUUGCCACAUACGGGCUUGCCGGUCUCCCUGAGGACAUUGUCCUUCGAGAAGUGCCACCCGGUGCUGGAGGAGCAGUUAAAGAAGCUCAAGUUUUCUUACAAUACGGCGUAG